UGAUUAUCUGUUAGGGUGUCUUCGUUGGAUAACACUCCAAGAGGCCCGGUACAGAGGCCGGAAGGUAUGGUGGCCUCGAUGCUUCCCACCGAACCUAUGAUAUUCAAGAGGAUAUUUAAAAAAAAAGGAAAUAGGAGAAGAGGAACACUGGCUCACCUGUGCCGAGGGUGUACGGCGGUUCGGAGGUGUUCACCGUGUGAUGAUUCUGCAGAAACUCCAUCUCUGCGAAAUUUCUGGUCGCAGCCGCCCUUAGAGACACCCCCUUUCCCCGCCUCUCGACAAAAUACACGGAUGGAUUGCCUCCUCUCUGUAGAGAUGUGGUCCAGCCCCUCUGGUCGCCCUAGCAACCGCACAUUGCUCCAAACUGGCUUUUGAUGCUGCCACUUCUUUUCUGGGACAGUAGAUAACUUUAGCGAAGAACUUGUGAUGGAUUAUGUAAGUAAUUUUUCUCUGAUGGAUUAUAGAAAUAUAUUUUAAUAUAUUUUAUGAUUGAUGUUUCUUAUAUGAAAGGAGAGAUUGAUAAAUAAUUUGAGAUACAGGAGUUUAAGAAUUGAUUUUAAUAUAGAGAGUAAUGUAACUUUUCAGAGGGGGUUGUUUUUAAUAUUAAUGUUGAAUUGAAUAAUUAAACAAAGGAAAGGGAAUUUUGAGAGUUAGUAUUAAUAAUGUAGGAGGGUAAAUUGAAAAUUUAACUAGUUUUAAGUUAAAGUUCACUAAGUUUACAUCGAAUUAAUAAACGCUUCGGUUAUUCAACAUACCCCCAUAUAAUUAUUAAAAAUUAGUAUGUUAAUAUUAACAUUGGCAAAAAGUAUUCUUGGGUACAAUUUGCAAUUGGAAAGGAAAUAUGAUAAAAAGGUAAAAUAUUUGAAUUUACAAUUAGUCAAAUUAUUAAAACAAUGAAAGAAGAGAAAUUUCUAAAUACCAUUGAAAUUAUACUCAUUGUUUAGAACAGAAAAUUAACUCCUAAUAUCUUUAAUAACAUCCAAUUAUUUUUGUUUCACUGUGAUAAUCAAUGUGUUAAUGCAUCAUUUAAUUAACUAACAAGCGAAAGAUUCAAUUAACAAAUAUAUGUAAGUGUUAUUUGAAGAAAUUAAGGGUCUAUAUUUAAUACUUAAUGUAUUGACUCUUAUGGGGUCACCGAUGACCGGUGCCACAUAUUUAAUGCAACUGAAAUCAUAACAGAAAGCAAUAUUUAAAAAAAUAUUUCUUAUUAAAUUGUGUCAUAUUAUACUUGGCCACUUUCACUGCGCCAUUCAACGCGUUAAUAUUACAAAUAUGCUUCAGUAAAAUCAGCUUCAAUAUAAGUGAUAUUACAAAGGUGCUACGAACAUUUAUAAGCUGUGUUCAAAAAUAAAAAACACAGGAAAAUGAUAAAAAAUCUGCUCUACUGAAACAUUAUCAGCUUCACAGAAAUUCCCAUGGAAUAAUAAACAGUUUGAAGCUACGCCCAUAAAAUCGUAUGAUCUCGAAUAAAAAAAAAUACAGGAAAAAUUAUAAAAAAAUCUGAGAAUUUCAUGAAUGAGUUUUUAUGAAUGGGUGAAAGGAAAAUGCACGUACAUAUGGACCUGAGCGUAUAGAAGUACCUUUAUGGCUUGGAAGACCUGCCGGUUUCCUCUAAAGGCUUCUGCAGAAAAUCUGCCAGAUACUUUCAUUCAUAGCCUGAAAACCAUGUGCAUCUUCCCACGUGAUUCGGUUCUCCAUUUUCAAUGACUCAAAAUGAUCAUCUAUCCAAGAAUUAGUCCCACCGUUCUAAAACAUAUGAUUCCAUAAAGAUGCACCUUCAACAAACUACUUUUGGUCACUUGAAAACAAGAAUUAUAACAUCCAGCAAUGUUACAAUCAUCCAGUUGAAGAAGAUUACCAAACUUCCACAAUCAUUCACAGGAAAGUCAUCAUUAUCAAUGUUCAAUCAACACUAGAACUUCAACUAUCAUACAAUAUCAUCAGCACUGUUUUAUUUCUUUCUAUUCUUGUACAGAUCCUUGAUUCUCUUCUCAGUCAUCUCUGAAGUAUUCUUCUUCUCACAACACUGGUUUCAGUCUGACUUUGAAGCACCUUGAAGACAUAAUUGCACCUUGAACACUGUUCUUCACAAAUGAACACUGAAGAAAAACAAGAAAAAUCCAAGGAAUGGUUCACUGAAGCAGAAGUUCACCAGCAGAGUCCAGUCUAAGAAUGAUGAAGUACGAGUGUCAAUCUUGAGGUGACAAAAAGAAGAAGUCCUCGGACACAGCACAGCAUGCUGCUGCCAUGCUGGCACGAUGCCUUGUCAAUGUGUCUUGGCUAACUAGAGAUCUACCACCUACUAUCACCCACUCUCACCCCUUACUCACUGACUACGUACCAUCCGACCCCACUCCACCAUGGGCCGGCCUUUUUCUUCGUACUCUUUUUUUUUUCUCCUCUCCCUCGGCUGCCUUCGUUCCACGUGCGUACCAUCCUCUUCUUCCACGUGUGUACCCCUACCCUCGCACGUUAACCUUUCCUCCAUCCAACGCUCGGCUAGGUGUUUUUAAGUUAAGGAGAUUUGCAGGACUUUUCAAUUAUGCCUGUUUGCUUGAUUUGUGCUUUGUGUCUUUGAGGGUGGAAAAUAGUAUUCAUAGGAUUGGUUUCAAGUAUAUUUAACUGAAGUGAAACUUUUCAGUGGUAAGGGUUGGUUUCAGUUAUCAAUCAGUGGGUGAAUAUUUGUAAAAUUUAACACAGUUGCUUAUAGUAAUAUUUUAUUCAUUGAAAAGUCUGAUUUUGUCAUGGGACAUACAACAGUGUCCCAUAAACUAUAGAUUACUAUAUUGAAGUUAUGAAGUGCUAGGACUUAGUUAUUUGUAUUCAUAGUGAAACUUUCCAAAGACAGCGUGAUCUCCUAUCAGUUAUAACAAAAGAAAGCAGUCAAGUAUAGGAAUAAAAGUGACGAUGGGAGAAGAGGAUGUAAGAAACGGUUUAAACGAUAUCCAUGUCCAGGAACGUGUAAGACGUAAGACGUUCGUAUACACGGGUUGGACGUCGUCGAUGCCGACGACACGGGAUACUAAUCGUUCAUUCGGCGAUCGUUGAUCGGUGAUCGGGGGCCUUCUUCGAGCCUCGUCUCUGCUAUACCGAUAUCCUUGCCAGCGAGAGGGACGGGGAAGUAGGAUAUUAUUUUCUUCAGAUACCAUUACCACGCCGAUCACGGUGGUCCUGCCUUGCAGACGAGUGGCCCCGAUACCCUCGAGAUCACUGGCUUGUAAUGCCUUCCCUUUCGUGGAUUAUUGACCAGUGAACGGUGAGCCCGGCUGCGAAACACUCCGACGCUACCUAUUCCACUUGCCAGACUCUGCCACCCUCUUUCUUCGACUGUUACCAUCUUCUGUUUGAUAUAGAGUGUUACUUAUUCUACUUGGGAAUAGCUUUAACUCUCAGUAGGGAUAAGAUAAAUAAUUACAGUUUGUAAAUUAUAAGGUUUAUUGCCAUAUUGAGUAAUUAAGCAGGACUUAUAAUAGACCUUGGUACUCCUUAAAAUUCUAAGAUUUUAAGCUUCCAAAAUUCUAAAAUUCUGUGGACUCGAUCCAUCCCAGAAAAAGGUUCUGAUUAUGCCAAUAUUAGUUUGCAAGUUAGAGUGGUUGGGUCUGAAAUUUUGAUAGUGAAAGUCAUUAUAUUGAAGCUCUGACGUUAACCCUCGGAUGGCGGACCAUGGAGAGAGCCCCAAUUUCAAUUUAAUUUAAACCUGUAUUUCAUAUUAUUUUCAUUUUCUAAAUUUUGCACUGCCCUUCUAAAAAUGAUAAGUGAAUGUCAUUAUUGUGAAGCUCUGAUAUUUAUUAACCCUCGGACAGCGGACCAUGGAGAGAGCCCCAAGUUUCUUUUCUCCCUCAUAAAUUCUUUUUCCAAUAUAUGCAACUCUUUUACUCAUAUAAUAUCCUUGUAUACAUUUUUAAAUUUGGGUCACGACGACCCAGUCUCUGCUCUUCUAAGAUUGAAGAUACUUUUAUCAUCACCCAUAAGAUUCCAGUGCACCCUGCAUAUAUCCUUCCGCAUCGGAAGAAUUAAUCACGACUAAAAGACACGAAAAGCGUACUUCCUGGAAUCGAAAAUUCGUCAGCGAAAAUUUCCUCCUGAUUGUACCACUCGUCUCUCACGAGUCCGGUCGCAUCCGACUAUCGGAUGUCGACAUAAUCGGGACCGUCAGGCCGGACACCUGACUACGUAGUUCCGACGUGGACACAGGAAGAGGAAGUCGACCGCACGGCAGCGCUCUGGCGUCGACCGUGUGUCCAGCAGCAGUGGCAGAGAACCGUCGAAUAGUUGGGAUCGGGUUCGCGUUAUUCGUAGCGUUUUUCAAAGGGAAGCGACGGGAAAGGGCAGAAAAAUCAACGAGAAGGAGAAGGGAACUGGUGUGAAGGGUGUUAACGAGGAGAGGGAGGGGUAAGAGGUUCACGUGGAGGAGAGCAGAGCUCGCAGCACGCCGAGUGUACACCCUGGGUAUUGGCUUACACUUCCAGCCGAUUGGGCCUAUGGUAUUUACGCAGGACCCCGUAGAAAACCGGACCCCGCCCUCUCCCUUUCGACCCCAACCUGCAAUUCCACGGAACUGCAACGUUUUCAACUAGCCAAAGUUCCUUGCAUCGUCGCAUUCUUCGUCCAACGGAUGGAGAAAAGGAUGGACAGCUAAUCAAUUGAUUUUUCAUCGAUUAACAAAUGAACAUCUUGAUAAUUAAUUCAUUAUGCAGUUGUAUAUUAAGUGGGAAUUUGAUGACAUAAAUGUGUUAGGAGAUAACUCUUAUGGAAUAUGAAUUUGAAGCGCAAUGUUUAAUGAGAAUUACUGCAUAAAUUGUUUAUUAAUAUUCUUGAUACAAAAUGGUUGAUUGCUGAUUGCAACAUACAAUAACUGAUUUUGGGAUAUCUGAAGUCUGACACGAUUUGAUAACAUAAAAGUAUUACAAAAUAACACUUAUGACAUAUGAAUUUGAAGCUCAAUGUUUAAUGAAAAUUACUGCAUAAAUUAUUUAUUAAUAUUUUUGAUAGAAAAUAGCUGAUUGCUGAUUACAGAAAAACAAUUUAAAGAUUAAAGUUUGAUGAAAAUGAUGAUAUGAAUGAUUCACUGGAUGGUAGUUACACCGAACAACGAUCAAUCUCGAAUUGCACCGAGCCAGAUAUCAUUAAUUGAUAUUAAUUUAGAGCUUAAAAUUUGCUAACAAUCAUCAGAAAUUUUAAUCACCAGUAAUUCCCACAAUUACGAUAAAAAAGAAUUUCCAUUGAACGUUUAUGCUCGCUUUGCUAAUCCCAGAUCUUUGAUAUAAAAAAAGCAGAGAUAACGUCUGCGGUAACACGAAUUGAUCUCAUCACCCUCUUCGGCCACACCUGUGUUUGCUCGCACCUGAAAUCAAAGAGGCGAUUACAUUCCCGUCAUCGUUACACCAGCGAGCCGAGAUGAGCAAAUAACCAUUGCACGUACAUCCGCCUUGAUCACGUGUGCACGUUAGGUGACCAUGCACACCGGGUUGCAUCAACCAUGAGCGCUUACUUAAAUACUUUGUGCAAACAAAAUGUCUGGUUGCAGUAUGUAGGGAGAUGUAUCAUGAAUUUCUGAAACAAUGCUUUUGAAUAAAAUGUAAAUGGAUAACAUGAUUUAUAUAUAGAACAAAAUUUGGAGAUAAAUGAAAGAAGUAGCAUAAAUGCAUUGAUGGUUUUUUAUUAAAUUAAAAAGUAAUUUCAAAGAAAUACUAAAAUAAUAAUUUUGAAUGCAACAAAACUAAAAAAAAGGAAUUUAAAGAUACAUUUUUUUCAUCAUAGUUUAAGACAAACUAUUGAAUCAAUGUAAUUAGAAGUGAAAACACAUUACCUCUAACUUAAGCAAGUGUGUAUUUUCAGUGAAAAGUAUUUUUAGUUGCGUUCGACUUAGACAAAAGCACAAUAGCCCGAAUAAAAAUUAUUUUUUCACCCAAAACACAUUCUAAAAUAUUAUCCACUUCCUUAAUACGGUCAAAGCUAUUUCACUAAAUCUAAUUCAAAUUUUUACACAAUUCAACCGAACUAUUUCUAUACCGUCGCGUGUGGCACAAUAUCUAUUCCCUUUCAUCCUCUCGGAUAACAGUUUCAAGCAACAGUGGUGUAGUCGUGAUUCAAAGUUGAGUGAUUAACCCUCGUGAUGAGAUGACAGUGACCGUAUUGUUCGCGAUCAAAAGUAUCCUCCCAUUGCUCUCAUCUCCCUGCAUUAAAGUGAUUGCGUAUCGGAUAAUCUACGAUAAACCUCGCUUUGAACGAUCAAGAUGUUACCAAAUACGUCACGGCUACUUAAUUACAUUUGCGGUGAACCACCUCUUGUGGCUGAAACUAGUUCGAUCGCCUGACCGGCGUAUAAUUGCGAGACAAACCUCCAACGCCCCUCUACAAUUUCCUUAUCAGAAAUCCCUAGAACAAGUUACGAAAUAUCUACUAAACGGUCGAAUUAUUUUCCAAGUUGGGCCCAGUCGAUAAACGAGGACACCUACACUGUCUACCACUACCAACCGAAAAUUUCUCCCUCGUUGUUUAUCUAAAAAGCAAGCUGUUCUCAACGGAACCGUUUGUCGCAAGCGGCAGAAUGUAACCGCGGAACAUCUUCGUAUCGUAUCGGGUUUCGUAUUUUGAGAAAGGGUUGCUAAGGAAAGAAAGUUGUCCGUCGCAUCUGUCCGACUAGCCGGCUAAGAAAAUAAGAAUCAUCGGGAUGAUUAGCGAAGAAAUAUAGCCGGACUCGUUUACAACAGUUUCUCGAAGGAUUAAAACCGUGUCCACCCUGGCUGGUAACUCCUGCUCGUCGAAAUAGCCGAUUGAAUUACACGCGGCGCGUGCCAGCCGGCCGCCACCGUCACCGCAUACGCCAAAAGAUCGUCUCUAAAGAAUAAAGAACGUAAUAAGCCACUAUCCGAUCGCUAUCUUGUCAUCCGAUGGGAUUUACAGCGACAAAGAGGCCGUUCCCUGUUUGUCAAUCUCUUCGUGACACCCUGGAGAAGAACUCGGAGAAUGGUCGUGCGAACGAUAAAGUAACGAGUGAAAUUGAGGGAAGGUUGAACGAUGAAGAUGAGUUUUAUUGUGAAAUAUCUGUGGAACAUCAGGAGAGCAAGAAGAGACAGGUCUAAUUGCGCCAGUAUUCUGGAAUUGCUUUAAAGCAUUAGCUGGAACGUCGCAGAGAGGUAUACAACCCCCCAAGAUGGCUGACUCCCGGGCGUAUCGACGUUUGGCGUUUGCGAGGUUUCCCAGAGGUACAGUCGGUUGCACACGGCUCUUGCUCUCUCUGUCCGCCGCUGUUGUGAUUGUAUAAAACCAGAGGCUGUUGCAAUUUGUAAUUAUAAUAAAUCAUACCCGACCCAUGAUUAUUUAUAUCUUAGACAAAGAGAUUCCAUGUUUCUUUUUUACAGUGCGCAUGGAUCCUGCGCCGAGCGUAGCGUACAGUGACCCCUGGUGUUCUCACGAUUCAUCAUUGGUGCGUGAAAAUUGCCUUAUAAAUUGAGAAGAAAUUAUUUAAGUGUUUAACACGUUUUGUUCCACGUGGAGCUUUGUUUUGUGAUAAAACGUGGCACGGAACGUGUUAACAUGGAUUUAUACGAGUAUUCUUUUAUAUCUGUUUUUCUGUCAGGACCUUUUUGUUGUCAUACCGCGUACGAGUCAUCGUGGAAGCAUUUAAACGAAAGAAAAAGUGUUUGAUACCAGUUCCACGGCCAUGGUGAUAUCAAAUUUAAAUGUCACGAGCGUGGAAGAUGCUCGUGUAGCAACCGUCUCUCAUGAAAUAUGGAGAAUAGCAAGGGCACUUUGAGGAUACGAAGGCAACGCCUCUAAAAUACGAGGUGGAUGUUUCUUCACCGUUUGGUUGAGAAAGGAACCUUUGUUGAGCGAGUUUUCUUCUGCCAUCCAACCAGGACGACUAGUUCUACCGAUUUAAAGCGUUCAAUUGGAGAUGACCAGCACCGAUUGGUAUGCAAUCUUCAGAACCACCUGACUUACUGAUGCGAUUACUUGGCUCUGUAAGAUCAGGCUUGGAAGGCACAAUGGUGUAAGGCGUAUUAUCCUUUGGUACCAAGGAAGGUGGCGGAAGCGGUAUGUGCAGGGAGACAUCCGGUAACCUCCAACGUCCCAAUUCGUCGCACCAAGUGGCAGCUGCUCUAACAGCAGCGACGUCGCGCAAUGGACAACCCGGUCGAAGAUGAGGAACCAUCGAGUCGCAUAUUUGCGAGACGAUCACCAGUGGCCCCGGUCCUCGCUUGCCUCUCGGACCCGGCCAGAUCCACCAGGUGCAAUCUACCCCUCUUCACCGUGUUCUCCGUCUUGCUGUCGUCGUUAAUAGCCAACGUCUCCAAGGACAAUGUAAGUACAGCAUGACUUCUCGAACUGGCAGCGUUCAUUUUCGUAGCCGCGGCAGCUCUUCUUCUGUCGCCCUGUUCCACCAGACGGGCGCAUUCAGCGGCAUCCUUAACGGUAACCUCUCUCAAACCACCAGCCACGUAAGUCCCUCGGCUAGGAUCCUCCUUCAGUGUCAGAAGGUCGCCGAUGCCGUCUUGGAGCAGGUCUCUCAGUCGCUCGUUGUAGAUCUCCAGAUAACUCAGCAGCGCCAGGUACCUCAUCUCCGAGCUGGCCGUCGACGUCGCCUCGAAGAUGUGGUCCAAGGUGCGUUCUAUGAACCCUCGCAUCGUGUGAGACUUCCCGCAGCCCGUCUGACCGUACGCGAACACCGUCCCGUUGUAACCGUCGAGAACAGCCUCCACGAUCACGGAGCCCACGUUCUCGUACACGGUCUCCGUGCUGGCUUCCGGUCCGAUGGCUGCGUCGAACUGGUACACCUUGCCGCUUCCGGUACCACCGGUUGGACCCUCCAGGGUGCAGCAUUUCGACGGUGAGUCGAUCGUUAUUACGUUCUAUAAAUAUGAGGAUUAAUUAAUUUUGAAGAUGAAGCACUGUUCACUAUUAGAAUAAGUCCCAUGAGAACAAUGCAGUCUGAUUGGUCGCGACCCAUUUUUUUUAUUUAUUAAUAGUAUUAUUGCUUCUUUAUUGGCUCUCGAAGAAAAUUUAAUUUAACAAAUUUUAGCAUUUUCUUUUAUAAAUCAUUCAUCUUAUUUAAAUUUGAAAUCUUUUUGCGAUUGAACAUUUUAGCAUUUUCUUUUAUAAAUCAUUCAUCUUAUUUAAAUUUGAAAUCUUUUAUUUUUUUGCAUCUACUAAUUAGGCUAGUGUAAAACUUAAUUAGGAAAAUUAAAUUAAAAAAUUUGUAGCAUUUUCUUCUAUAAAUCAUUCAUCUUAUUUAAUUUUUAUUUCUUAUUUAAAUUUGAAAUCUUUUUUUUCACAUCUAUAAUACUAAUUAGGCUCGUGUAAAAUUAGGAAGGGGGAGGGUGCUUAGUGAGCAAUAGAUGCGGUGAACUCUCGCUAUAUUGCCAAAACUCGCCCAAUUGACAAUAUAGCGAUAGUGUACUGUAUUUGCAAAAAGAGUUAAAUUUUGAAUUGUUUUUAGAUAUUUUUUUUCAAAGGAAUUAUACAAAUUAAAAUUUAUCAACGUUAUCACCUUGAGAUACAUUCAAUUUGAAUGGCUUUUUCCACAGUUAUUAUGAUAGUUAUUCAAUUGCAUUCUGAGAAAUGUUGUGCAACGUUGCAAUAACAUCGAACACAUUAGCAAAAACGUGUUCAUUAUUUGUGGCAUCGCUUUACUGAUCGUUUAUACCUUCUAUCGAUUCGGUUUCGUAGAAAUACUUGAAAGGCGCUGGCAAUUCGAAACUUUAUUCUUUUUUAACUCCUUCGUGGCCUUGGCGUUUUGUAAUUUUACGUUUCUUUUUUUUUAUGUAAAGCAGAAUUACUGCUUGCAAUAAAAGCUAAUGAUUUGACGGUUUAACUAGGACGCUGGGGUCAUUGAAGAUCUCAUUGAAAUAUAUCUCAUGUAUUAUUUUUCACGAUAUUUAUUUUUAUUUCUCUUCGAUUAUUAUUUUCGUUCGUUCGGUUGAAACUGUACAAACACAACGAUAAUUUCUUAUCGCCUCCGUUUAAUGUUAAUGAUCAUUUCUGCGGUUUUGUAAACACGUUACAAGCAGAAAUGAUCAAUGUCUUGAAAAAAUUGUUGGAGAGAGGAAACUUUGAAAAGUAUUGUCCAUUUUUAGCCAGAUUUGUCAGUCAGCGUUUCUUCAUGAAAUGCGAUAUAUCGUGUACCAUGAGUCGUCAUCAAAUUUACUAUUCCAUAAUAUAUUCAUCAGGCAACAAGAAAUGUAAGCACGCUAACUGAUCGGUGCAUACACGGUGCAUAGAUAGCGAUAUCGAACCACACAUCGUUUUACCUACGUAUGUACAUUGUCGUUCAGAAGUAUUAGCACAAUUGUAAUUUCGUUUUAAUUAUGUAAUAUUGCAGAUUAUGUAAUAAUUUUCCUGAAUUACAGAAUUUUCAUAUCUUGGAUAUUCCAGUA